UAUUAAUCUGAUUCAAAGACACAUGCAGGAAGUUGCUUUCUAAUGAUAGGGCCGGCAAACUCUUGCAGAAUCAAUUACAAAUAAGGUAACGACUACCAAGAGAACUGUUCCAGUUAGAGCGGUUUCUCUGUGUUUGUGCAACAAAGUGUUGGUGUGUGUAGCCACCCUGGAGCCUGAAAAUGGACAGCUCCUUGCUCCUUAGUUGGGUGUUUCUUACAUUGUCACGGGGUCAGUCUUAUCUGGAAGCUGCAGUUACCAGCUGGAGUCAUGUCUUUAUCCAAACUGGCCAUAAAAAUGCAGACGUGUUGUGUGUCGGGAAGUGUCUGCAAAGGACAAACCCGCCGAGCCCCCCCUUGGAGGGGAGAACUCACAACCAUCAGUCACAGGAUGGUGGCUGUCACCCAGCAGGACAUGGACAGCCAAAUAAAUACCAGAGAUGAUAUCCAGCAGACAAAGAGAUGGCCCAGCAGCAAGUCAGGCUAGGGAGAAUCAGAAAGAAAAAUCAGACAUUGAUAGCCAUGAAAAAAAUCAGAUAAACUGUUGGGAAAACAUGGGGGUAGAGGGACUUUCCCCAUGUUUGGUCAUUUCUUCAGUGUAUUUAUGUACAUUUUGGCAAAACACUCAUUUUUAAAAUCACUUAUUUUCACAUCAAUAGGCUUAAGGCUGCUGAAAAACAAAGCUCUGGGCUGAAAACCUGUUCCAGUUCUCCGUAGGAAACUGUCUGAAAUAUACCCAGAAUUGGCAGUGUGAUCUUUGCAUCGGCAGAGAAAAUACUGAGUCAUGUUGUCAGCCCACACACAUUUAACAAAAAUAAAAGCAGACCAACGAUUCAAAA